UCGCGUGCCCAUAGAUAUCGUCCGGUUAGGUUAGGCGUAUGCAGCGGCCCAAUUACGGAUGCCUUCUUUCGUUACCGAAAACACGACAGGUCUAGCCUCGGUGCUAGCCACGACGGGUGCAGCCUAGGGCAUUUUCCAUUUCUCUUCUUCCCCAGAAACGUCAAACGUUGCUACGAAUGCGUAUCUGAGGCUGUUGUUCUGUUCUUGUUUGUUUUUUUGUAUUUGUUACUGUUACAUUAUAGGCGUUUGUUCACUCACCAUGCUGUCAAGGUGAUACCUGAAUUACGUAGUAUUUUCUGGCUACUGUAACACGUCGUUGAUAACGGAAAACAGCGCCAUCCAAGCUGCGAUGACUUUAUUUUCCUUUCUUGAUGGCCGUGUGGGUACAAAUGGCAACUGAGCGAUAGUGCAGGCGUGCGCAGGUACGGAGCCCACAAAGAAGAGCACAACAGCUGUGGUGCCGAGCAUGCACCUGAAACCUUCCACAUGGGUAUGCCACAGACAACUCUAGAAGAGCGCCGACAGUAGAAACGCGAGAGAGCUCGCAUUCGCCAGGCCGAUCGUGCAGUCGUGGCACAGAAACAGGCCCGGGAGGCCGAGUGCCAGCAGCAACUGUGAACGAAUGAUCCAGCAGCCUUCCAAGCCGUGCUAAACCGUGAACAGGAAUCCAAGCGCCGGAGAAAGGCGCAUCCUACAAAUCACGCUGCCGAGUUGGCUCGCAAUGUCAAACGCUUGCAACAAUGUUGCGCCGAACAAUAAAUGCGUGCUUCUUCAAGA